rnacentral:rRNA from 1 species
CCUACGGGCGGCUGCAGUAGGGAAUCUUCCACAAUGGGCGAAAGCCUGAUGGAGCAACGCCGCGUGUGUGAUGAAGGCUUUCGGGUCGUAAAGCACUGUUGUAUGGGAAGAACAGCUAGAAUAGGAAAUGAUUUUAGUUUGACGGUACCAUACCAGAAAGGGACGGCUAAAUACGUGCCAGCAGCCGCGGUAAUACGUAUGUCCCGAGCGUUAUCCGGAUUUAUUGGGCGUAAAGCGAGCGCAGACGGUUUAUUAAGUCUGAUGUGAAAGCCCGGAGCUCAACUCCGGAAUGGCAUUGGAAACUGGUUAACUUGAGUGCAGUAGAGGUAAGUGGAACUCCAUGUGUAGCGGUGGAAUGCGUAGAUAUAUGGAAGAACACCAGUGGCGAAGGCGGCUUACUGGACUGCAACUGACGUUGAGGCUCGAAAGUGUGGGUAGCAAACAGGAUUAGAUACCCUUGUAGUC